GACGAACGCUGGCGGCGUGCCUAAUACAUGCAAGUCGAACGCUCCUUUCCUCCCGAGUCCUUGCACUCCAUUGACAAGGGGAUUGGCGGACGGGUGAAUAACACGUGGAUAACCUCUCGAUCCGGGGGGGAAGUCACUUGGACACUGGCUCUAAUACCGCAUUAUUGUUUAUUCCGCGUUGCUUAAUUGUGAAAUGCACUUUCGUCACUCGCUGAUGGAUGGUCCCUCGUUGCAUUAGCUAGUUGGUGAGGUAACGGCUCACCCAGGCGACGAUGCAUAGCCGACCUGAGAGGGUGAUCGGCCACACUGGGACUGAGACACGGCCCAGACUCCUACGGGAGGCAGCAGUAGGGAAUCUUCGGCAAUGGACGAAAGUCUGACCGAGCAACGCCGCGUGAGUGAAGAAGGUUUUCGGAUCGUAAAGCUCUGUUGUUAGAGAAGAACAAGGGCGUUAGUAAAUGAACGUCACCUGACGGUAUCUAAACAGAAAGCCACGGCUAACUACGGG
rnacentral:rRNA from 1 species